CAGAGGAUAGUUUAAUAUAAAAUAUUAAUUUUGGAGAUUAAUGAUAGGUAAAAUCUUCCUUUGA
rnacentral:tRNA from 1 species